rnacentral:pre_miRNA from 1 species
UCGUUUCAGACGCUCCUUUUCCUCGACAAAUUGAAUGAGGUAAAGGUCCGAUCUGAGAUGAGA